rnacentral:tRNA from 1 species
GAAAAAGUUAUAGGGGUCUAUGAGAUUGGCUUGAAACCAAUUUUUGGGGGUUCAAAUCCUUCCUUUUUC